UACGGGGGGGGCAAGCGUUGUUCGGAAUUACUGGGCGUAAAGGGCUCGUAGGCGGCCAACUAAGUCGGACGUGAAAUCCCCAGGCUCAACCUGGGAACUGCGUCCGAUACUGGAUGGCUUGAAUCCGGGAGAGGGAUGCAGAAUUCCAGGUGUAGCGGUGAAAUGCGUAGAUAUCUGGAGGAACACCGGUGGCGAAGGCGGCAUCCUGGACCGGUAUUGACGCUGAGGCGCGAAAGCUAGGGGAGCAAACGGG
rnacentral:rRNA from 1 species